rnacentral:lncRNA from 1 species
CUGUAGCCCCUACGUGGUGAGUAGAUCGUGUCCACAGAAAUCAGCGGAGGCUUCCACAGUCCCUGGUUGGAAUGGAACCGGCGGUGAGGAUGAGAGGCGCUGAAGACCAGAAGACCCAGGACGUGAACGGGGCGUGUCAUCCCUGGAGUUUCAGUAGAAUUUCAGGCCUGUCUGCUUGAGCAGCAGAGGAGGAGUUUCUGUGUGCCUGUGAGAGACUGUGUGUGUGUGUGUGUGUGUGUGUGAUGAAUGAACAGGGUUGUGUACGUGUGUGUGCGUUAGACAAAUGAACAGUGUUGUGUACCUGUGUGAAUUGUCACUGUGACUCCAGGCUCUAGGCUCUGCAGAUUCCUCAGCCCUAUCGCCUCACAGACACUUGGGAUGUGCAGCAGGUAAAAGAGAGAAGCCAGAUUCAUGGAGGCGUGAAGGAUCCCAGCAAGAAAACACAGACUUGAUCUUGAGACGAGAUUUUUGAAAUUGGUUGCGGCCUCAAGCCAGGCUCUGAGAAGACUCGAUAAAGAGUUCUCAGGAAUAGGCAUCCCUCCUGGAUAUUUUCCCCUUGGAAGCGCCGAGGAGCCAGCUGUAUGUUUGUAACCAUAGCAUUUCUAAAGCUCCAGCCCCAGGAACCUGCUGUGAAUUAGAGACAGAUUCCACCCUAGACAUCAGUGAUCUUGGCCUCUCUUGUAUUGGGAAGGUCAACACUGUUCCAGUUUCUCUCCUACUCCCAUCUGGUUGUGCUCGGUGAAGUAGGUGAGCAGUGCUACCCUUCUGUUUAAAAAAA